rnacentral:rRNA from 1 species
AUGAACGCUAGCUACAGGCUUAACACAUGCAAGUCGAGGGGCAGCAUGAUUGAAGCUUGCUUCAAUCGAUGGCGACCGGCGCACGGGUGAGUAACACGUAUCCAACCUGCCGAUAACUCGGGGAUAGCCUUUCGAAAGAAAGAUUAAUACCCGAUAGCAUAGUAUUUCCGCAUGGUUUCACUAUUAAAGAACUUCGGUUAUCGAUGGGGAUGCGUUCCAUUAGAUAGUUGGCGGGGUAACGGCCCACCAAGUCAACGAUGGAUAGGGGUUCUGAGAGGAAGGUCCCCCACAUUGGAACUGAGACACGGUCCAAACUCCUACGGGAGGCAGCAGUGAGGAAUAUUGGUCAAUGGACGAGAGUCUGAACCAGCCAAGUAGCGUGAAGGAUGACUGCCCUAUGGGUUGUAAACUUCUUUUAUACGGGAAUAAAGUGGAGUAUGCAUACUCCUUUGUAUGUACCGUAUGAAUAAGGAUCGGCUAACUCCGUGCCAGCAGCCGCGGUAAUACGGAGGAUCCGAGCGUUAUCCGGAUUUAUUGGGUUUAAAGGGAGCGUAGGCGGGUGCUUAAGUCAGUUGUGAAAGUUUGCGGCUCAACCGUAAAAUUGCAGUUGAUACUGGGUACCUUGAGUGCAGCAUAGGUAGGCGGAAUUCGUGGUGUAGCGGUGAAAUGCUUAGAUAUCACGAAGAACUCCUAUUGCGAAGGCAGCUUACUGGACUGUAACUGACGCUGAUGCUCGAAAGUGUGGGUAUCAAACAGGAUUAGAUACCCUGGUAGUCCACACAGUAAACGAUGAAUACUCGCUGUUGGCGAUACACAGUCAGCGGCCAAGCGAAAGCAUUAAGUAUUCCACCUGGGGAGUACGCCGGCAACGGUGAAACUCAAAGGAAUUGACGGGGGCCCGCACAAGCGGAGGAACAUGUGGUUUAAUUCGAUGAUACGCGAGGAACCUUACCCGGGUUUGAACGCAUUCGGACCGAGGUGGAAACACCUUUUCUAGCAAUAGCCGUUUGCGAGGUGCUGCAUGGUUGUCGUCAGCUCGUGCCGUGAGGUGUCGGCUUAAGUGCCAUAACGAGCGCAACCCUUAUCUAUAGUUACUAUCAGGUCAUGCUGAGGACUCUAUGGAGACUGCCGUCGUAAGAUGUGAGGAAGGUGGGGAUGACGUCAAAUCAGCACGGCCCUUACGUCCGGGGCUACACACGUGUUACAAUGGGGGGUACAGAAGGCAGCUACCUGGCGACAGGAUGCUAAUCCCAAAAACCUCUCUCAGUUCGGAUUGGAGUCUGCAACCCGACUCCAUGAAGCUGGAUUCGCUAGUAAUCGCGCAUCAGCCACGGCGCGGUGAAUACGUUCCCGGGCCUUGUACACACCGCCCGUCAAGCCAUGAAAGCCGGGGGUACCUGAAGUACGUAACCGCAAGGAGCGUCCUAGGGUAAAACUGGUGAUUGGGGCU